rnacentral:rRNA from 1 species
GCGUAAUAGCUCACUGGUCAAGUGAUUGUGCGCCGACAAUGUAGCGGGGCUCAAGUACACCGCCGAAGCCGCGGCAUUCAUGCAAUACAUUCCCUUCGGGGCAGUGGCAUGGAGGGGUAGGGGAGCGUCCUGCACCCAGCGAAGCUGCGGAGUAAUCCAGCAGUGGAGGGUGCGGGAGUGAGAAUGCAGGCAUGAGUAGCGACAGGCAAGUGAGAAACUUGCCCGCCGAAUGACCAAGGGUUCCUGGG